GAUGAACGCUGGCGGCGUGCCUAAUACAUGCAAGUCGAGCGAACAGACGAGGAGCUUGCUCCUCUGACGUUAGCGGCGGACGGGUGAGUAACACGUGGAUAACCUACCUAUAAGACUGGGAUAACUUCGGGAAACCGGAGCUAAUACCGGAUAAUAUAUUGAACCGCAUGGUUCAAUAGUGAAAGACGGUUUUGCUGUCACUUAUAGAUGGAUCCGCGCCGCAUUAGCUAGUUGGUAAGGUAACGGCUUACCAAGGCAACGAUGCGUAGCCGACCUGAGAGGGUGAUCGGCCACACUCGAACUGAGACACGGUCCAGACUCCUACGGGAGGCAGCAGUAGGGAAUCUUCCGCAAAGGGCGAAAGCUUGACGGAGCAACGCCGCGUGAGUGAUGAAGGUCUUCGGAUCGUAAAACUCUGUUAUUAGGGAAGAACAAAUGUGUAAGUAACUAUGCACGUCUUGACGGUACCUAAUCAGAAAGCCACGGCUAACUACGUG
rnacentral:rRNA from 1 species